CGGCUGGGGAGCGGCACGCACAGUCGCAGCAAACCUCAAAAUAAAGAGGCAACUGCCUCUCCUCCUCCUCCUCCAUCUCCCCCCAAAUGUAGGAGGUCAGAAUGGGUGUCAUCAGCAGAAAAAUAUGUACAGCUGAUCUCGACAAGAAGAGGGACCCAGAGCAACAAGGCGGUGGUACCUCCUAAGCCCAGGGAGUUGGCAGCGUCUGGGCUUCAGAGGAGCCGACACCUCUGCGUUCUCUCGAAGUGAAGCUCUGCUGUACGACUUUCCUUCUGGCUGCAAGACCGGAACACUGUGGCCACUAAUUUGACCAUUCUCAGCGGGACGAAAGGACGGGGAUGGAGCACAGUUGAACCAAGACUCUGAGGCUGAUAUGCAAUGUCACUUACAACAUUAAUCAGAUACUGCAUUUAAGAUCUUGAUGCGGAAGAGAUGGAGGACUCAGAACCAAGGAUGUCCAAGUGAUUUCUUCCCAGGCCCAGGACACCAACUCUGCUAAGGCUGGUCUGUUCUAACUGAGGUAAAGAAAGUUAUGUCUCUCCUUGGUCGGUGUGGAAUGCAAAGUGAUUUUUCCAAGGGACUCGUAGAGGUUGUAUGAUUCACAACAGUAAUCGCCCAGGUUUGGGGAUUACCAAGUGACUUUGACACACAGAUAAUCUGUUAUUAAGGAGACAUGAAGUGCGAAGCCCCUGGAUGAAGGAGAGCUAGGUGAACAGGCUUCAAGACAACCAGUUUCUCAGUCCGGUUUUGCCAGCGACGGUCAUUAGCGCUCUGAUACACCCUCUUCUAAAUGUCUAACAUCUCUAGGCUAAACUCACUGAGGCCCAGAGAAUUGAGAUGCUUCCUCCUGGUUACCCAGAGGGUUGGGGUUGAGGCAGGACUGAGACUUGGCCGUCCCUUGCUCAGUCACACUGCCUGCUUCAGGCUCUGCUCUGAGGUGAGCACCUCACUGGGCACCAGGGAUGUAAGUGUGACGAGCCCACCCUUGGGAUACUUGUGGUUCUCCCAGACAAGUGCUGGCAGCUCAGUAUGCAAAGUUCCAGAUGGUGACAACAACAGCUGCGAUUCAUCAAACGUUGGUGUGCCUGUGCGCGCAAGGCCGUGUGUUAAGGACUUUCAGCCCUGUGUUUUUAUUUACUCCUCAUGUUGUCCCUGUGAGGUGAGGAAGAAGAUGUGCAAAGGAUUGAGGGUGAAAACGGAGACAGGUCCCGGAGGGCUUUGCAUCUCCUCC